ensembl:lncRNA
AUCGAAAGCAUGUGUUUGUGUGUGCAAAUGCAACACACUUAGGUUGAAAACAGCAUGUUGAAAUUUAACAUUCAAUGAUGUUAAAUGUAGCACUGGACUUGAUUUUAUUCAUCUGGAAUUGGUUGGAUGGUGAAAAGUGGCUCGCAUAAGACUGGAAACACGAUAAAAUCCCAGUCACAUUUUCCCAUGAUGAUCCUCUCUUGAAACUCUCACGGGAAAGUUUGUCUGAAGGUAUCAUUUUUUUUCCUCCAGCUGAAGAAAUAACUCUAAGGAUUAUGGCAGAGAAAAUAAAAGGAAUAACUGGAUUAACAGCUUCCUGUCAGAAAUGCGACAUCUCCCCCCGGGUGCGCACAUAACAACCUCUCGGAUGCAUCCUCAAGACACCGGCUCUUAGAGCACAUGCAUUUCCAACAUCUCUCUCUCUCUCAAUCUCUUUUUCUAUUAUCAACACGCAUAUUGAGCCGAAGAGGAAAUAAAAUGGUGCUAAAAGGCGAGGGAGGCGCUGGAGUGUCCACAUCUUCUG